AACGAACGCUGGCGGCAGGCCUAACACAUGCAAGUCGAGCGAGACCUUCGGGUCUAGCGGCGGACGGGUGAGUAACGCGUGGGAAUAUGCCCUUUUCUACGGAAUAGCCUCGGGAAACUGAGAGUAAUACCGUAUACGCCCUUCGGGGGAAAGAUUUAUCGGAGAAGGAUUAGCCCGCGUUGGAUUAGGUAGUUGGUGGGGUAAUGGCCUACCAAGCCUACGAUCCAUAGCUGGUUUGAGAGGAUGGUCAGCCACACUGGGACUGAGGCACGGCCCAGACUCCUACGGGAGGCAGCAGUGGGGAAUCUUAGACAAUGGGGGAAACCCUGAUCUAGCCAUGCCGCGUGAGUGAUGAAGGCCUUAGGGUUGUAAAGCUCUUUCAGCUGGGAAGAUAAUGACGGUACCAGCAGAAGAAGCCCCGGCUAACUCCGUGCCAGCCGCCGCCGUAACAC
rnacentral:rRNA from 1 species